rnacentral:rRNA from 1 species
CAGUCGCCGCGGUAACACAGAGGGUGCAAGCGUUAAUCGGAAUUACUGGGCGUAAAGCGCGCGUAGGUGGUUUGUUAAGUUUGAUGUGAAAUCCCCGGGCUCAACCUGGGAACUGCAUCCAAAACUGGCAAGCUAGAGUAUGGUAGAGGGUGGUGGAAUUUCCUGUGUAGCGGUGAAAUGCGUAGAUAUAGGAAGGAACACCAGUGGCGAAGGCGACCACCUGGACUGAUACUGACACUGAGGUGCGAAAGCGUGGGGAGCAAACAGGAUUAGAUACCCCUGUAGUCCCUGUCUCUUAUAA